UACAGAGGGUGCAAGCGUUAAUCGGAAUUACUGGGCGUAAAGCGUGCGUAGACGGUUACAUAAGUCGGGUGUGAAAGCCCCGGGCUCAACCUGGGAAUUGCGAUGGAGACUGCAAGGCUUGAAUCUGGCAGAGGGGGGUAGAAUUCCACGUGUAGCAGUGAAAUGCGUAGAGAUGUGGAGGAACACCGAUGGCGAAGGCAGCCCCCUGGGUCAAGAUUGACGCUCAUGCACGAAAGCGUGGGGAGCAAACAGG
rnacentral:rRNA from 1 species